AUAAGUUUAUUUACUACCACUGGGUCGAUGCCACUGCUGGUGGAGAUUUAUUUCCCCGAGAGUAUCACCAGCCCAGUAGUCAGCACUUUUUGUGCUGACAUGAAUUAUCAUUGAUAUGGUUAUAUUUAUAAAUUAACUGUUUACAAAAUUUAGAAUUUUUGAAAUACUAAGGCUUUUCUACCUCAGGCAUAGAUUACCUUAGCUGGAUUUGGCAAAACUUUUAGAAAUUUUGCUCCUCAAUGCUCUUCAACUUCGUACUUUAUUUGGCCCUUUUAACUUUUUUGGAUUCGAGCGUCACUGAUGAGUCUUUUGUAGACGAAACGCGCGUCUGGCGUAUAUACAAAAUUUAGUCCUGGUAUCUAUGAUGAGUUUAUUUAUUAC
rnacentral:lncRNA from 1 species